GAGGCUUUAGCUUAAUUAAAGUGUCUGAGUUGCAUUCAGAGGAUGUAUUAUAAUAUACAAGUCUUA
rnacentral:tRNA from 1 species